rnacentral:rRNA from 1 species
GACAGAGGGGGCAAGCGUUGUCCGGACUGACUGGGCGUAAAGGGCACGCAGGUGGCGCGCCAAGUGGUGUGUGAAAGCGGUCGCUCAACCGACCGAGGCCAUGCCAAACUGGCGCGCUCGAGCCAUGCAGAGGGUGGUGGAAUUGCCGGUGUAGUGGUGAAAUGCGUAGAGAUCGGCAGGAACACCAAGGGGGAAGCCAGCCACCUGGGCAUGUGCUGACACUGAGGUGCGACGAGCGUGGGGAGCGAACCGG